UUUUUUGAGACAGAGUUUCGCUCUCGUUGCAGUGAGCCAAGACUGCGCCACUGCACUCCAGCCUGGGCGAUAGAGCCAGAUGCUGUCUCAAAAAAAAUAAAUAGAUAAGAAGAAAAAAUAAUUACCUUACCACAGAGAUAUAUCCUGCUUAUAAGUUUCAAGAUAGUUUCUAUACAUAUAUAUCUAUAAAUUUUUUUUUCCACAAAUGUCAAAUACUGUUUUGUAGCCUAUUUUUCACAUUAGAUAUGGUGAAUGUUUUCCAUGUCACUAAUUAUACAUCUAGGUCAUAGUUUUCUUAAAAAUAGAAAUAGCUUUAUUACAUUUUCUGAUUGUAAAAGUAGUAUGGGCUCAUUGCAAAUAAUUCAGAGAAUACAGAAAAAUAGAAAAAAAUCACCCAUAAACUCACCACGCAGAGUUCACUCUAAGUAUAUAGUUGGGUAUAAUGUUUGGGUAUGUACCUUUUCAAAGUUUUUUUAGAUGUUUGAUAUGUAUAGCUAAAUAUUUUCAUGUCAGUAAAUAUGCUCAUAAAUCAUAAUUUUUAAUGGCUACAUUGUAUCCCAUUAUGUUGUUGAACUAUAAUUUAACCAAUCCCUAUAGUGCUUCUGGUUGGGUAUUUUUACUUUUGACAUUAUGAUGAGGAUCUUUGGACAUAUCUUUGCAUACUUGUCCAUUACUUCCUAAGAUAAACUCCUAGAGGUGUAAUUGCUAAUUCAAAUAGUAUGAACAUUUUCAAAGGCUUUUCAUAUGUAUUUCCAAAUUUCUCUCCAAAAAGGUGUUCCAGUUCACUCUGCCAGCAUGUGUUUGUGUCCCAUAUUCUAAUACCAUUCUUUUUUUAAUAGUGGUCUGAUUUAUGAAAAAUGUUAUCUAUGAAAAUAAUAUUUCCUUAGUUAAUAAUGAAGGUUGUUUCCCCCAUGUUGAUUGACCAUUGGUAUUUUGGUAAAUUUCCUGUUCAUGUACUUUGUUCAUUUUCAAAAAUUGACAUGGCCCCUUUAUUCAUUUGAAAGAAUUAUACAUUAGGAGUAUUAACUGUUUCCACAUAUUUUGCAGAUAUUUCCCCUAAAUCUGUUAAUGUUGAAAACUACUGGUUUGAUUAUAAAUUUGUAUAUUAAAUUUUUACCAUCAGUGUGAAAUUCAAUAAGAUAGAGUUAUG
rnacentral:lncRNA from 10 species